rnacentral:lncRNA from 1 species
AUUGUAAAUGCACCAGUCAGCACCCUGUCAAAACAGACUACUCAGCUCUCUGUAAAAUGCACCAAUCAGCAGGAUGUGGGUGGGGCCAGAUAAGAAUAAAAGCAGGCUGCCUGAGCCACCAGUGGCAACCCUCUGGGGUCCCCUUGCACGCUGUGGAAGCUUUAUUGUUUCACUCUUUGCAAUAAAUCUUGCUGCUGCUCACUCUUUGGGUCCACACUGCCUUUAUGAGCUGUAACACUCACGAUGAAGUUCUGCAGCUUCACUCCUGAAGCCAGCGACACCACAAACCCACCAGGAGGAAGGAACAACUCCAGAUGCACCUCCUUAAGAGCUGUGACACUCACCGCGAAGGUCCGCAGCUUCACUCCUGAGCCGGCGAGACCACGAACCCCACCAGAAGGAAGAAACUCUGAACACCUCCGAACAUCAGAAGGAACAAACUCUGGACACGCUGCCUUUAGGAACUGUAACACUCACCGCGAGGGUCCCCGGCUUCAUUCUUGAAGUCAGUGAGACCAAAAUCCCACCAAUUCUGGACACACUAGGAAGACUGAGACCCAAUUGGACCAUCAAAGAACGACCCAAUCACCAGCACAAAGCUAAUAAACUUGUAAGCUUUCAAUACAAAUAACGUUGGAACAUAGCUAGGAAGACUUCAGGAGACAGAUUCUCUUUGCAGAGUCUCUGGGAGCCUUUCUCUCUACCAUGUGGAUGCCUGCAGAAGCCUGCACAGUCAUUCUGCCACAUGCACUGUGGAUACACAGCUGAUUUACAGCUGGGCUGAAAAAGCCUCAUCUCUGUUUCUGGGGAUUCCAGGAUAUCCUGUUUUUGACUCUUAGCUAAGACGGAAAAAGUGAUGCUCACGCCAGAGAAGAGUCAGCCCAAGGUCAUCUAGGAUCAGUGGCACACCUAGGAUUCAGGCCCAAGGACCCCCAGCUGACCUGCCUUCCCUGGAACCUCACUGUGAGUUCUUUAACCAUGGCUGUGUUUUCAAAGUUGAACUGGGGCUGCUGUUGAUACCACCUUUAAAUGCCUGCUUUUGUCAUGGAGACCAUGAGAACUUCACUCUUCAGCUGGCAAUUUACCUGGCUGCACAGUGCUCAGGCACACACAGGCUUCAGGGCUACAAGGUAAAGGAUUUGCCAAGGCCAAGUGCUGAAACCCACUUCUUGUUUUGAAGCAAAUGAGAACUUCCACCUGUAUUUGACCUGGGUAUGUAUAUUAAUUAGUUUGGCAACUGAGAUUUUUUUCUUGAUGAUCAAAAGUCCUAACUGGCAGUUAAAUAUGUCUUUUUUUUUUUUUUUUUUGAGACAGAGUUUCCCUCUUGUCACUCAGACUGGAGUGCAAUGGCACAAUCGAGGCUCACUGCAACCUCUUUCUCCCCAGUUCAAGCAAUUCUCCUGUUUCAGCCUCCCAAGUAGCUGGGAUCACAGGUGUCUGCCACCACACCUGGCUAAUUUUGUAUUUUUUAGUAGAGACAGGUUUUCACCAUGUUGGCUAGAUUGGUCCUGAACUCCUGACCUCAGGUAAUCCACCCGCCUCGGCCUCCCAAAGUUCUGGGAUUACAGGUGUGAGCCGCUGCCCCUGGUCAAAUAUGUCUUUUUAAAAAAAUAAUAAUAAUGACUUUUAAAUACAAGUGACCUGAGUAUGCAAAGUAUUUCUAGACUCAGGGUUCUUAAAGUGAGGAAAAAUUAGCAAAAGCAUUAUUUGACAGCCCCUAGAAUAGGCCAAAUAUGAAAUAACUAACAAAUUGCAGAUAGUAGUGUGCUCUACAAAGAAAAAGAGAGCAAGACAAUGGAUUACAGAAAAGAUGAAGUUUAUUUUAGAUGGAGUAUUAAGUGACAGAUUCUAUGAGGAGGUGAAAAUUGACCAGACAACUGAAAGAAGUAAAACAGCCAUACUAGUAUCUCAGGAAAAAUUAUCGCAGGAAAAAAAGAGGAAAAAUAAAAUGACUCUAUGUCGGAGGGAGUUUGGGCUGGCAUGGUGGCUCAUGCCUUUAAUCCCAGCACUUUGGGAGGGCGAGGUGGGUGGAUCACUUGAGGUCAGGAGUUCGAGACCAGCCUGCUGAACAUAGUGAAACCCGUCUCUACUAAAAAUACAAAAAUUAGCCUGGUGUGGUGGUGGGUGCCUGCAAUCUCAGCUACUCAGGAGGCUGAAGCAGGAGAAUUGCUGGAACCUGGGAGGUGGAGGUUGCAGUGAGCCUAGAUCAUGCCACUGCACUCCAGCCUGGGUGACAGAGUGAGACUCCACAAAAAAAAAAAAAAAAGGGGGGGGUGGGUGGGGAGGAGGGUUUGGCAUGUUUAAUGGAAAAGGUCUGUGUGUGACCAGAAUAGAUGGAAUGCAGAGAAGCAAAAUAUAGAUUUUAAUUUCCAUGGUUCUUUACUGAAGAGUGUUUCUUAUUUAAGUAACAACGCUAUGAUUAAAUUGAUUGUGAAAGAAUUACAAAUCUAGAAUUUAUUGCAUGAUCAGAUAGGAGAACAGAUUUGAUUUGCUAACUCUGUAUAAUAUACUACAGUGUAAGCCACCCUCUAUUACUUUAGCAAAAGAUGUUUUUUUCAUUUUCCUGCAAGUAUAUUUUUUCUCUAAAACCUUAAUUAGCAUUUUUUAAUAUUGCUGAAAGAUGGGGAUAUAAGUUCCAUUUAUUUCUUGAAACUGAAUAUAAUUAUCAAAUAUUGAAAAAUAAUAAUGGGCAUCAUUAUAAUUACUGUUAAGUAGUUUUCCUGUGUAGAGAGAAUUAUAAAAAUAUCCUUCAUUAUCUUUCAUGGAUAAAUGAUGUUUUUCUCAUGAGCCAGAGAAAAAUUAUCACAAUGUCUGCCCAGGUGUUUCUGUUAUGCUUACAGAAGUGAGUAGUGCUAUUUGCAGACACUGUACUUUCUCUCUUUUUCAUAUGAGUACAUUAAUCAAUUGUGGAGUUGUGGCAUCUGCUGUAAAACAAUUUGUUUUUCCAUUAUUUGAUGGCUACACUUUUUCUUUUAGUUUUUUUCUCUUCUUAUUGAAUCACAUUUUCUUUCCUCUUCUUUUAAAAAUAUUGCUGUAUUGAUUUACAAAAAAUAUAUAUUUUAUUGCCUCAUUUUAAUUUUUGGUAAUCCAUGUACUGCUUUAUUAAGGCCUAUAUAACUCAUAAUCCAACUCAUCGAUUAAAAGUUCAGGAAACCAAAGAGAUGGCUUUUUCUCCAAUUGAAGAUAUCAUAAUGAUAAUUUUGGGGGCUGGUGAAAACUGAGAUUGUCAGAAGGCUAAUUUUUUCUUAGAUGUCAUUUUUGUUGGUCACAAACUAGAGAUGAAGCUCUCUACAGGCAAGUAUAGAACCAUCUCUCUGUGCAACAAUUUGUAUUUUCAGACCACUUUUAGUCUUUGGGGGUAGAUACAAUUACUUAGAAAAAUCUUCAAUGUCUCUUUGGAAAACAGUUGAUCUCGAACUCAGUUCUAAAGCUGAGUCAGCAUCACAGGAUUUCAGAUUCUUGAAUGUUAUUUUUGUUGUCUUUCUCUUACUAAAUUGUUAUCACUGAAUAUUUCUCCUUUGUUUUACUCCAUUUGGACUGCUAUAACAAAAUACCAUAGACUGAGUAGCUUAUAAUACAGAAUUCACAUCUCACAGUUCUGAGGCUGGGAAGUUCAGCAUCAAGGUGCCAGCAGGUUCAGUGUCUUGUGAGGGCCUGUUUUCGGUUUCAUGGAGGGCCCCUUCUCACUGCAUCUUUACGUGGUACAAGUGGCAAGUCAGCUCUCUGGGGCCUCUUUUAUAAGAACACUUAUAGGAAUAUUGAAUUAGUGAACGAGCUCUGUUCUCGUGAAUUAAUCAUCUCCCAAAAGGCCCUAUCUCCUAACCCAUUUAUGCUGGAGGUUGCAAUUUUUGUGUGUGAAAAAUCAGACCUUGGCAAUGACCUUGAGCAGUAGGAUAUAAAUAACUCCCACAAGCUUAGCAUUCCAAUAAGGGAACACUAGGCAUAAAUGGGCUUAAUACCCUCAUCUUAGGGGAAAGGAUUUCAAUAUGUGAAUUUUGUGAAACACAAACAUUCAGACGGCAGCAUCUUUGCUUUCUUAAAAAGUUAAAUGAAACAAGUUCCCAAAUUUAAACAAGCAGAAAUAUGUAUACAGAUAAGGGUAGAGGAAUAGUUUAAAAUUAUUUUAAUUAGAUAUUUGAAGUCCUCAGUACGCUACAUUUAUAAAAAAGAAAUGGUAUAUGUGACAGGGAGCAAAAUAAAACCCUGUGUCAUAAAAAGAAUCCACUAUCAAUUAUUUAAAAAGAUCUUAGCAAGGAAAUAUCAGCUUCGAUAUUACAAACUUUUCAGAUGUGAAAAAUGAUUUAUUUUCAAAUAUAGUUCAAAUGAAGUUUUGCCUUAACAAAAUGGCUUUUCUAAAGGCCACCUUUAGAUCAAAAUACUUAAUCUAACUUGUGCCACUUCUUGGUAACCCUUGGUAACCCCUAAAUUGUUUUCUCUAUUUUCUCCAACUACUCUACUAAAAAGUUUCUUCCUAUUUCUCCACAUGGCUUCAAAAAAGGGAACAUAAAAGAGAAAUACCAGUCAGUGAUAAUCAUGUGGAAAAAAAUAAUAAUGUGAAGCAAUUUUUGUUUGUUUGUUUGUUUGUUUGUUUUCUCUCGAGGUCAUGAUCUGGUACUUUUUUACAGCAAACUCAUACUUAACAAAUUUUAAAGAUUUUUUAAAGAAUGAACUAAUGAAUUGGGUUAGGUAAGUUUAUCUUAACCAUUCUUAUGUCCUUUAAUUUUCUGCACUUUGCUAGUAUUUUACUUUUAGAAUCCGUAGUCAGCUUGAAUCAUAUUAAUUUUCUGACAACUGAAUAAAAAAUAUUUCAAUAUUUCAUGCAUCUUGUUUAUUUGUUUGUUUUGGUAGUUUUUUUUAAGAAAGUGAAAGUAGUUUAAUUUAGAGAGAAGCCAUGGAAACCGGGAAACAAAAAUGAGAUUGUGAUUGGGAAGGAAGGGAUCGUCAUCAAUAAAAUUGCUUUACUAAGCAAGUUAUUGCUGGAGGUGACAAAACUUUGAUCCCACUAGAGCCUUUAAAAGCCAGUAUCGAACACACUGUUCAGUAAUGCCACUCAAAUGAGCAGUGCAUUUAUUUAUUCAUUCUUUAUCAGUCAUUUGGUUGGUAGUAUGUUAUUAAUUCCACAGUAAUUCUGACUUGCCACUUGCAUGGACAAAUUGGGUUCCAGCUGCCAGAAAAAUCCUUCAGGCAAAGGAUGCAGCUGCCACCAGUUGGAAUUCUAGGGGAUACUUGGUCUUUAUAAUUUCUGAGUACAUAAGCAUCUACUAUAUGUGCUUAAUACAAAUGAAUGCCAUUUUAAUGUACCUUAAAAUUUCUAAGCAAAUACAUGAAAAGCAAUGUCUAAUUUCUUGCUUAUUUUCAAGGUAUACAGAUAACUCUGUUAUAUUCAGAAAGAGCAGGGACCUGAAAAAAAAAAUCUGUGUUAAAGUCUCAUAUGAACUAAAAAGAAAAAGUAAUUUAUUCUUCUGCUACUUCUCUUUUCAGUAAGGGUGGUUGCCUUGUCUUGCUCAUUGCAAGAAUGAAAGCUGUAUAAGUUGAAUGAAAAUAUAAAUAUGACUUUGAAGGUGGGUAAGUCUUACCUUCCCUUCUAGCAGUCUCUGAAGUUGCUUGAACAAUGGCUUAUUUUAUUAUUAGUUGGGACUCUUUGGUUGCAAGUAAUGGAAGUAUACUUGAACUAGAUUAGCAAAAAUGUAAGGCUUGUUAUAACAUUGCACAAGCACAGAACUCGCUGCUGGCUGGUAAGAUAUAGGACUACUGCAUUAUGGGGAUUUUUGAAUUCUAAUCUACUAGAGGGACCAUUGUUUUAAAAGUUCUUUAGAAGUUAUUCUUGGAACUACUAUUUAUACACGAAAGAAUGUGGAUGGAUCUCAAAAGCAUUAUGGCAAAAGACAGAAACAAAAGGCUACAUAUUGUUUCAUUCCAUUCACCUAACAUUUUAAAAAGCACAAAACUAUAGCAGUAAAAAUGAAUCAGUGGUCCCCAGAGACUAGGGGUAAAGGAGCAACUAUAAAAAGGAGACUUUUGGGAUAAUGGAACUAUUUUAAAUAUUGACUAUGGUUGUGGUCACAAGACUGCAAAACUGUAUACAGUUAUUAAUAUUUAUAGAACAAUACACUUCAAAAUGGGGGAUUUUAUUGAAUGCAAAUUAUACCUCAAUAAACCUGAUUGCUUUUUAAAAUAUAUAUAUAUAUAUAAAUAUGAAAUAGAUUAUUUUUAGUAAGUGACUAGAAAAAGGGCAAGCAAAAUAAUCGGUAACUUAGUAGGCAGCAAAUUAUUGUUCAUUUAUUUAACUCAGGUUUUAGAAAGUCCAUUGUGAAGCUAGUAAAAGAUUGUGAUUUGAAUUAUUUCUCAAAUUAUAGAUGAUUUUUAAUGAAGACAACAGAUAUACCUAAUAAAUUAUUUUUAAUUGAUCCAUGGAUACUAUCUUAUCUUUAUUCACACUUAGAUAUAAGAAAACACUAAAGAUAGACUUAGCAUGUUUCUAAAAUUAAUUUCUCUAAUUUGCAACACAGCACAUAAUAGUCAUGAUAAUUAAGCCAACUGAUAUCAUAAUUUAUGAUUACUUCUUGUCAGAAACUGUGAUAUUAUUUCCAUUGAGUAGGAAGUGGGGAGUGGGGCAAUUAAACUUAGUGCUAGAAUUAUUCUCCUUUUAAGCAUAAUUCAUCAAAAUCAAGAGUGAGCUUCAAAAUGACCAGUAAUAAAAGUAGGAAGAGAGAUGAUUUUCUAUAAAGUGCAAUUUAUGGAUUCUGGAUUCACAGAGAAAAUAAACACAUAGUGAAUUAGGUAAAAAUAAAAGAGGUAAAAUAUCCUGCAUGUAUUCUAUUAACAAGAUCAAAAGAAAACAAAAUUUACAUUACCGUAGAGAUCUUUAUAGCACCCCGUUUGUUAAAUUGAUAUUGUUGUGUUAAAAAAUUGACACAGACAUAUUAAUGGCUACAAAGAAAGAAAUAAAGAACUCCUUCUCACUUUUAAAUAGAUUCUGGAUUCUAGAGGAUAGUCCACACUUUCUUGUGCAAUUGUUUAAAUGUUGAAAUUGCUGACAUUAAGUGUGUAUGCAUUUACAUGUUGAAAUGCCACACAAAGGGUUUAUUAAUUUACUCUUUUUAUAAGCAAUGUAAGUCCUUGGUCUCUACAGUCUUAUCAAUAUCAAGUAUUUUGUACAUUACUGAUUUUGCCAAUUUAGUAUAUGAAGAAAAAGCCCACAAUAUAAUCUUUAUUUUGUUCAGUGGUAAGCAAAGUUAAACAUAUGUUUUUUAAAAGUCCCAUUUUGCGUCUUGAUUUCAAAUCAUCUGGUCAUAUUCCCAAAUAUUUAUAUGUUGCAUUCUUUGAUUUUUAUUCAUUUAUGGAAAAGUUUCGGGGAUAAAGAAGGAUUAGUAUUUUCUGUGUUCCACAUGGCUGUUCUAGACCAUUGAAACUCCUGUCCACAUAGUGUCUUAUUUUUUUUAAUAGUUUCACAUAGAAAGUAUGUUAAUAUACAUGAUCUUUUAAUUAUUUCCACAUAAAAGGUAUUUAGAAUUUAUCAUUAUUAUCAUCAUUUCAACUUUAGACUUAAAUAAACUGAACCUCAAAGUGGUCAAUGACUUGACCGAGUCCCAAGUAGAAAUGAAGCUGAUUUUCUGGCUUCUUUCGUAUUUUUUCAAACUACAUAUAUUCAUUACAUUUAUUUUACUAACAAAGUAUUGCUUUAUCCUUUCUUAUGAACCAGCAUUUUUAUUGUUUUUUUAAUUAAAUUUAUUCUUAUUAAUAAAAAAACAAGUCAAUUCCUUGGAAAUUUUUGCCGAAACCUGUUUUACAUUUCAAUAUCUCCAUAAUUGGCCAUAGGCUUUAAUGACAUUGAACUCCUUCUUUCUCUGUUGCUUCAGGCUUGUCCAUAGAAGUAAAUAUUCGCAUGAUUUUAACUUUCCAAACUGGCCCGAAAUAAUUUGUCUUAACUAUUGUCAAAUUAUUACCCACUUUGUAAAGCUGUGUUCAGUUUCUUCUCCUCAAUGAAAACGUUCAUGGUCAUAUAAAAAUAUGAUUACAAUUUUUCUCACUCUCUGAGUUACCUUGUAUUUUAUAAUAUUUUCAUGUAAGAAAAUGAGCUGUCCAUUUUAAAUGUCCAUCAUAAUUCUUCAAAUAAUGUUUAUAAAAUUAUACUCACUGGCUAGUAAUAUGCAGUUUGGCAACAGAAUGAGACUAUAUACAAAUUAAUAAAGUCAGUUGUUGGUCACAGUUAACAAUAAUUUUUCAUAAGCUUGGAGUUGAGGAAAUUCAAAGGCACUCAGUAUUUUUUUAAAUUAAGAAUUGCAAGAAGAAAGAGACAGAAAAUGAGUAUGUUAUUCAAAAUGAAAAGAUCAAUGCAAUCAUCCAAACCCAGUUAAGACUGUGUAACAGUGCAAAACAAGGUGUUUCUAAUAUUUCUAGAAUAUCACUGUCUUUCCCUUAUAGUAGGCUCAAGAUUUCUUUAAAUGACGUAGGGAAAGUAACUUUCCAUCGGCAAGACAGAAAAUAGCUAUUGGGAGAUUAGGGUAGGAGACGGAAGGAAAGCAAAGGGAAGGGAAGGGGAGGGGAGGGGAGGGAAGGGGAGGGGAAGGAGAAUGGCAGGAAAGAACAAGAAAAGGAGGGAGAAAGAACUAAGAAAGGAAGAGAGGAAGGGAGGGGAGGAGAGAGAGAGGAAAAGAGGAUGAAAAAUGAGAGGUGGAAUAACAGCUAGACAGGAAAGGAGAAUGAGAAAAGUAAGACGCAAACAGGGAGAGCAAAAAUUAAAGUAACCUAGAUGUGGCAGUCAAGAGAUUGUGAAAGAUGUGUAUACAAAAGAGGGGCCAUACCACAGCAGUAACUUGACCACAGCAGUAACUCAAUGCAUGAUUUGUGUUCCUGUAUCUUUUAAUGGCACAAGUCCUGGGACCUUUGAUGAGGCUCUGUCUAAUCAUAGAAGGACUCUGCCACCAGAAUAACCUAGUUUGCAUAAACUUUCCUCGUGUUUUCUUUCACUCCGCUAUCCAGACUGUAGGGUGUGCCUUACAUUAUUUAGCUGAAUUGUCAACAGGUGUACUGAGUAAACUGUUUGAUUUAUAAAUAUCUCUGUAUCUAAUCAUGUAUCAAUUUCUCAAAUUAUGGUGUUUCACAUAUUGGUUUCUCUAAAGAUUAUUUCAUUUCACAAUUUGAGGCAGUUUUGUGAAAAGAAACAUAUACAUAUAUUUUAAUUUCUGCCUGAAAUAUACAACAUUGAAUUUCAUUCAAAUAUUUAAUGCCUUCACAAAUAAAACGUAGCUAGUGUUUCAUGUUGCUGUUUAGAAGUUUAUUGAAAUAUGGCAGAUAAAAUGCUAUAGAGAUAUUAUUAUGUUUAAUAAUUCAGUAGUUGCUUCAAAUAUGCUAUAAAGUGUUGGAAUAUGGCCAGUUAACUUUAAAAUAUAGAAUAAUAAAAUAAUUGGAUUUAAAAUUGCUUCAUAUUAUUUUUGUUUAAUAAAAAGACAAUCCAUGUCUUAGGUGUACCCUUUUAAAUCCUAUCUACUUUCUGAUUCUUAGGAUUCUUAAAAAGAAUAUUGUAAUGACUGAACAGAAAUAUUAUAUCUGAUUUUGUACUAGAAAAUUGAAGCAGCAUGGGAUCAUGGCUAAGUAAGAGCUUUAUAGCAGUAGCAAAUAGUUACAUGAUUACUGAAGUAUAGCUGUCACUGGAAAUAGAAAGCUGCAAGGAACCUAUCAUAAAAGUAGCAAUUUCAGUUUCACUAGUGUUUAAAAUUAAAGCCUAGUAAUUCAUUGUGGAUGUAUUUCCUCAAUGGUUUCAGGAAAGUAUCCUGCUUUCACUGAGCAUUUUCACUUUGUUCCUUAUGUGUUUCCUUUCAUAAUGAAAAAGUUGUAAUUUCAGAUUGGUAAAACAAUUGUUAGGACUUUGUGAACAAACACUCAAAAAGUUUUGUGUCAUGAAAUAAUGAUUAGUCAAUUGUAUUUAUUGUUAUAACACACUAUGUUAAAAAUUCACUGCCAGAUGAUCCACAUUAUGUUAGGUAAACCAAUUUAAUCAACAGUUUCCUCUUUUGACAUAUAAUUAGCUGAUGGAUGAAUUUAGAGGUGUAAAAAACCUUCAAAUAAAAGCGUUUAUGGAAAAAAAUAAUGGCUGUUUAUGGAGUUUUGCAUACAUGUGUUACUGUCUUAAGAAGCUGAAAUGAGAUUUAAG